rnacentral:rRNA from 1 species
GUAACAAGGUCUCCGUUGGUGAACCAGCGGAGGGAUCAUUACAGGAUUCGCAAGUCUCCCGUAACCCCUGUGAACAUACCUAUACUCGUUGCCUCGGCGGGUGCUCCGGUGCGAACCGGGGCGCCAGCCCGCCGGCGGCUCGCUACUCUGUAUUGAAUACUGCAUCUCCGAGCAAUUGCAAACGAAUCAAAACUUUCAACAACGGAUCUCUUGGUUCUGGCAUCGAUGAAGAACGCAGCGAAAUGCGAUAAGUAAUGUGAAUUGCAGAAUUCAGUGAAUCAUCGAAUCUUUGAACGCACAUUGCGCCCGCCGGUAUCCCGGCGGGCAUGCCUGUUCGAGCGUCAUUUCAACCCUCAGGCUCCGCCUGGCGUUGGGGUCCUGCGCUGCAGCCCCCUAAAGUCAGCGGCGGGUGCGCCUCCGUACCGAACGCAGUAGUUACUUCUCGUUCUGGUCUCGGGGCGCUCUCCGGCCGUAAAAAGACACACUUCAAUGGUUGACCUCNGAUCAGGUANGAAUACCCGCUGAACUUAAGCAUAUCA